rnacentral:lncRNA from 1 species
CUCAGGUGAUCCGCCCGCCUUGGCCUCCCAGUGUUGGGAUUACAGGCGUGAGCCAUCACGCCCGGCCGAUGCUUAUAUUUCAUAUUGAAGGGACACACCUCAACACAUUUACUUUUGGAAACUGUUAAGCAGAUAGAGGGAACGCUGAAAAAAUUUCUACCAGAGAUAUACCAAGAGGAUUUGUCCUGCUCCGUAAUUGUAAUCUCUUUGCCUGGCCUUUGCUUUCGUCUGUGAAGCUGCCACUAGCUCCGGACCAGCCAGAGCCACCUACUCGGAUCAUGUUGGCAGAACCCAGUACUGUUUCGAGGCCAGAUGCACCAUUUCAGCAAUUCAGGAGGAAAUAAGCAGUGUGGAUAAACUGAUACCCAUUUUUGAAAGUCGGCCUGGGUUCGCAUUCAGAAGAAAUGUCGACGCUAGCCAUUUUUUUUUUAAAAUGGGUGAUUUGAUAACUCAGGGAAGUCUUGCCACUGUAAUUUUUAAAAGUUUGCUUGCUAGAACCAGGUACUUUCUAAGAAGUGUAUGGAAAAAGCCUUGA